GCGGCCGCCCGGCCCGCUUGACAUACCAGGAAUAGCUGCACACAAUUGUACCUUUCCCGGCCAAGAAACCUCCCCCGCCGGGGAGCGCGGCCCGCCGCCCUCACCUGAGCCCCGGCCAGCCGAGCCCGCUACCCGCUCUCCCGCCGCGAUCCGGCCCAGCCGCCAGCUAAAGAAGUCAGUUUCAAGAGAUCUGGAGAAGUAAGAUGGCCAAAUAAAAGCCUCUACCAACCAUCCUCCCCACAGGAAUGCCAAAUUUAAGAUCUACACAAAAAAGCACCUUCAUAAGAACCAAAAAUCAGAAAAAACAAGGAUAAAGAAGUAUCCAAAUACAAAGAAAAUGUUAUGCAAGUGACCUUUAGAGAUGUUUUAAAGGUGACAAAAUAUUGAUAGCACUUAAGAUGGGCCAACAAGUGUUACUGUUACCUCUAAUAAAGUUUCAUCACUAGUUUCACCAUGGUUAAUUGGAAAUGGUUUCCGCCCAUCUGUGGAAAACAGACAAACAAUUGAAUGCUUAGCUGUUUUUACAGGAUAAUGUACUUUCAACUUCCAUUUUCCUCUUCCCCCAGUGAGGCAAGAAAAGUUAAAAGCCAUUUUAAAUAAUAUCUUAAAAUAAAUGUUUUAAUGGGCUACCAUGAAUAUUUUUUAUUAAAGGUUAUUAGUUAGAACUUUGCUUCCAUAUUUGAAAGCCUAAAUUAUCUUCAUGAACAGAAUUUAUUACAAUGCUGGCUUUCAUUUCCUGAAAAUAAUACGCAAAAUUAUUGUUUUUUAAAAAUUAUCACCCCAGCUUUUAUCCUUAGAAAUUUAAAAAAUUUCUUUUUUUACUUUAAAUAGGAAGAUCUCAAGUAAGACAGACAUGUUUAAAACAAUGAAAGGGAGCCACACUGUCAUGGCUUAUACAAUACUACUACUAAUUGUGUACUACCAAUGCAGUAAUAUAGAGGAAUAAUCCAAAUAACCCAGGGUUAUUUUACUGACCACCAAAAUAACCAAAUUCACAGUCAACUUAGAUAAACUAGUACUUUUUGAAUAUUAUUUUUUAAAAAGUCCAGAAUUAUUUAAACUCAUGCUAACCCAAAGUCAACUGACAAUUAUAUAUCCAAAUCCAUAAUCUCAGAUGUCUUGUAAGUGGCUCUUAAUUAAGUUCAAUCCAUAAAACACAGCCCCUUCUAUGAUUCCAUGCUUUCUAACCAUAAUAAAAAUUUCUGAAUAUGCAUCUAGUAAUAGACUUGGUUGUUAGAUUUUUUAAAAAAAUGAAUGAAAAUUAACACAUAAAUUCAUCUCCAUAAAAAGUAAUAUUAAUUUCUAUAAAUUAUAUCAUCAGAAUUUGUGACUCCUAUUUUUGGACUAACAUUGAGAUAAAUAUUCAAAAUCCUAAAGAAACUUAUCCCUAAAUUACAAUGCCUGGGAUGUAACUCCUAAAGUUUCUAAGAACCUUUAGGAAACAUUUUCCUGUAACUAUAUUACACAUGAACACUUAAUUAUCCAUAUUUCUAUGAACUUAUACUAUCUUUCUAAAUUAUAAUGUAUAUUUCUCAAUAAUAUAUCAUAAAA